CCUACGGGGGGCUGCAGUGGGGAAUUUUGCGCAAUGGGCGAAAGCCUGACGCAGCAACGCCGCGUGGGUGAUGAAGGUCUUCGGAUCGUAAAACCCUGUCGUCAGGGACGAAGGUUGCAUGUCGAAUAGAUGUGCAGCUUGACGGUACCUGGAGAGGAAGCCCCGGCUAACUCUGUGCCAGCAGCCGCGGUAAUACAGAGGGGGCAAGCGGGAUUCGGAGGGAUUGGGCGUAAAGGGCGCGUUGGCAGGUGUAAUCCCCGAGCUUAACUUGGGAACUGCAUCUCAGACUGUGUCGCUAGAGUACUGGAGAGGGUGGUAGAAUUCCACGUGUAGCGGUGAAAUGCGUAGAGAUGUGGAGGAAUACCAGUGGCGAAGGCGGCCACCUGGACAGUAACUGACGCUGAGGCGCGAAAGGGUGGGGAGCAAACAGGAUUAGAUACCCCAGUAGUC
rnacentral:rRNA from 1 species